ACGAACGCUGGCGGCAUGCCUAACAUAUGCAAGUCGAACGAGACCUUCGGGUCUAGUGGCGCACGGGUGCGUAACGCGUGGGAACCUGCCCUUAGGUUCGGAAUAACUCCCCGAAAGGGGUGCUAAUACCGGAUAAUGUCUUCGGACCAAAGAUUUAUCGCCUUUGGAUGGGCCCGCGUUGGAUUAGCUAGUUGGUAGGGUAAAAGCCUACCAAGGCGACGAUCCAUAGCUGGUCUGAGAGGAUGAUCAGCCACACUGGGACUGAGACACGGCCCAGACUCCUACGGGAGGCAGCAGUGGGGAAUAUUGGACAAUGGGCGAAAGCCUGAUCCAGCAAUGCCGCGUGAGUGAUGAAGGCCUUAGGGUUGUAAAGCUCUUUUACCCGGGAUGAUAAUGACAGUACCGGGAGAAUAAGCUCCGGCUAACUCCGUG
rnacentral:rRNA from 1 species